AAAUUCUUACUUGGGAAUCUGGUUGAAGUACAUAUUCUGAUUCAGAAAGUCUGGGACAGGGCCAGAGAUUUUGCAUUUCUAACAAACUCCCAGGUGAUGCUGAU
rnacentral:pre_miRNA from 1 species